CACUUUUCUCCUGUCUGUUGGGCUGACUGUUUCUCUUGUGCUAUCAUUACCAUUACACAGAAUAAUUACAUCAGCUGCAGCCACUUCCAGGCAUCGAUCUGUAACUCGAAUCAAUCCUCUGGAGACACAAGGGGAUGAAAUAGUGAUCUAUGGUGGUGUGUGAGGGGAAAAACCUGACUUUCAGGCACCAUAGGAGUUCCAGUCUGUAGAAUGGUGGGACAGUUCCUGGUAUAGCUGCAUCUCUUCCUGCAAGCCCUGCUUUCUAAGUGCUCUAAUGAGAUAGUGGGCAAGAAAAAAAUGUCCACGGGAUGCUUCAUGUGAGAAACGGGAAUAUGAAGAUGUGCGGCGUAUGUGUAACGAGUUUCUAAUUAAAGCAACUGCGAUGUAAGCCCUCGAGGGACUGCUCCUUCCGUCUGAGAGCCUCAAUAAAUUGGCGAGAAUCGACGGCGAAUGUUUGGAGACGUUCAAGACGAGCGACGCGUGUCCUCGAGGAGCUUUCACUGGAGUUUUCUCAAGAGACAUCAGAAGGGAGUCUGACCUCUCAAACUUCCCACGCUUGAGCGUAUUAAAGGACGAUUCGCUUUAAAGGAUAGCGCGCUCUCUCGCGAGCCUCGCGUGGGGUUAUAUAGACACCGGACGCUCGAGACUCAAUAAAACACAACACGCGCUCAAUCGCCUCAGGCUGUGUCGAUUGAGGGAAAGAAACGCAGCAACACCAGGCUCCUCAGCAGACUGCGUGAUCCAGGACUUGGGCAGUGCGGGACUCGCGCGCACUCUGGUUGCGGGAGCGAUGCGCGCGUUGCGGGCUCUGGUUCUAGUAAUGGGGCUCUUCAUGUUAAUCUGCACUUCUGCACAAAGCGACGCCAGCGUGAACAAGGUCGAGAAAACGUUCAGACGGAUAAAAGACAUGAUGAGACUGGUGGAAAACAGCGCCGACGACGCAAGCGCGCAAAAGAAAGAGAGCGCGCUUAAGCACACUCAUCAUCUCAAAACGGAAACCGGGGAAACAAUUUUAAAAAUCUUUCCCAGAGACGUCGAAAAGAAAAAGAAGGUUAUCAGGAUCUUGACAGGUCCUCUUUAUUUCAGUCCAAAAUGCAGAAAGCAUGUCUACAGGCUUUAUAAUCACACCAGGGACUGCACCAGCCCUGCAUGUGCCCCUGAUUUACCCCUGCACAUGGAGUUUUAACACAGAAACAGUAUAGGCUACAAAUUCAGGACUCAUCCAGCUGAUUAUCCAACUCAUCCAGCUUUACUCCUGUCCUCAGACUACAAAAGAUGCGCGCGACUUCUGACGCGACUGGCAGGGAGUCCGAGAUGUCAAGAGGGUUAACUUUACCAGCAGGUUGAAGCCAAACCAGAGUGACCCAGAAAAAAAAACAGCAGUCAAAGUGCCUUUGGACAAGAGAAGAGAAUUUAAACCAACACGCAACAUUCCACAUAAUCAGCACAUCGCGUCCAGAACACUGCUCUGCCUCUCGGGAGAAUAGAUGUGGGAAAGAAUUGAUAUAGCAGUAAACGGACACAGUAUAAUGGGAUGCACUUGCCCAAGGAUGGUCUGCUGGACUCAGCAUGGAGCCAAUGUUAAAACACAGGAUGACAGAGAAAGAAAACAGAAAACGCAUCUGGCGCACUGGGUUCUGAACCUGUCUGCCAAAAAACAAAACCAUUUUCCAUCGUUUCAUCAUGAAAAAAGGGAUUGCCAUGGUUUUGCGUUUUGUUCUCAUCAGAUAUCAAGACUCGUCACAGUCAGUGCUGAUGUUUCGUUCGACAUGCCUCAAUGGGGUUACAAUUCAGAGCCAUGACCACAAAUUCUCUUAGUUCACUGCGACAAGUGAGAGAUUUACUUUUCUCUGUGCUAGAACUGAAAACCAGUUAAGUGCAUGAACGUUUCCUUUCGCUUCUGUUUGCCAGCAAACAGGUAGAUUUUUGCAGUAAAUCCGUUGAAAGCUUUUUGUUUUUGUGUGAGACUGUGAGUGUCUGACGGUGGAAUAUAUUCAGUAUAUUUUGAGAUAUGUAAAUGUUGUACAAAUGAGACUUUAAAAAAACCUGUAUAACAAACAUAUAAGCGUUUGACAUACGAUGGGAUGUGUAUAUUUAAAAGAAAAUAUAUUUAAAUAAAUUAUGAU